rnacentral:rRNA from 1 species
UAAUAUUUUUAAAGUAAUUUAAAAUAAUUUUUUUAUUAAAAAUUAAUAAUAUUUCUUUUUAGGAUAUAGAAAAUAAAAUUAUACAUAAUUUAAACAAAAAUUAAUAUCUAAAUUAAUUUGAUUUAUUUUUAAUUUAUAAUUUUAUGAUAUAAAAUAAAAAAUAUUAAAAUUAAAAAUAGAGAUUAAAUGUUAAUCAAAAAUAAUGAUAUAUAUAUAAAAUUGAAAUAAAGAAAAUAAAAUUAAUUUAUUAUUAUUUUAAGGGUCAGCUUUAAAAUAUUAUUUAAAUCAUAUUUUUAUAUAAUAAUUUAUUAAAUUUUAAAAAUUAUAUAUUUUUUUAAAUUUUAUUAAUUAGUAUUUUAUUAGUAAUUAAUAAUAAUAAAUAUUAUUAUUUUUUAUAUAAAAAUUAAAAUAUUUUUUAAAAAAAAAAUUAAUCUACUAAAAAAUAUAAUUAUUGUUUACUAAAUGCUAAGUAUAUAGAUUUUUAUUAUAUAUUAUAAAAUUUAAAUUAUUAUAUUUAUUAAAAAUACUUUAAAUGAGUAAAAUUGAAUUAUAUUUUUUUUAAUUUUUAAAAAUUAAAUUUUUAUUUGUUUAAAAUAUAAAUAAAAUAAGUAAUAGAACGAAAAGACCCUAGGUAAUUUAGGUUAAUAUAUAGAAAUAAUUAUAUAAAAUCUUUGUUGGGGCAACAGCGAUUUAAAAGUAAACAAUAGUAAAAUAUAAUAAAUUUUUUAUUUAAUAAAUUAUAUAAUAUAAUUAACCCUAGGGAUAACAGCGCAAUAUAUAAUGAAAGCCCUUAUUAAAUUAUAUAUUUACGACCUCGAUGUCGGCUUAAUAAAGCUUUUUAAAGUAGAAUUUAAAAAUAGUUUAACUGUUCUUUAAUUAAAGUAUUACAUGAGCUGGGUUUAGAACGGAGCGAUUUAGUUCGGUUUUUUUUCUUUAUAUAUUAUAUUAAUAGUACGAAAGGAAUUUAUAUAUUUUAAUUUUUUU